rnacentral:ncRNA from 1 species
GCAAUCCGGUGCCCUCCUGUCGUGGGAGGGAGAAUAGGGAACCAUGUGAAAAUCAUGGACGGUGCCGCCACUGUGCAGCGCCUGGACUCGACAGGAAAGCGGGCAAACCGCUUUCAGCCAUUGGGAAACCGAGAAGGCCGCCGAGUCCGCGGAGAGAUCCGCAAGGGCGCAAGUCAGGAGACCUGCCGGAUUGG